CCUCGAAAAUCAUACUAGUAUAUUUCUUGUCUCAAAUCAAAGCUCAAACGAAAUCACUAUUGGCCACCUCAGCCACGUCAUCGAUCCAUGCGAAAUCUCACAUUCCAUCUAAUCCGUCGAUAAAAAUAAAUCGACCGUCCAAAACACCUUUCCAAAACCCAUCAAACGGAUCAACUCAUUACCCUUGUGCUUUUUCAAAACAAAAGAAAACACAUUAGCCCAUAAAUUUCGCUACCUAUAUAAACCAUACACAUAACCGUAACUUCCAUAACUUCAUCUCUCUUUCAACAACUCAAUCUUCUUCUCACAGUUUUUUGUUGAUUUGUUGUUAAGAAUCAAGAUGUCUGGACGUGGAAAGGGAGGAAAAGGUUUGGGAAAGGGAGGAGCGAAACGACACCGUAAGGUGCUCCGUGAUAACAUCCAAGGAAUUACGAAACCUGCCAUCAGGCGUUUGGCUCGUAGAGGUGGAGUGAAGCGUAUCAGUGGUUUAAUCUAUGAAGAAACCAGAGGAGUUUUGAAGAUCUUUUUGGAGAAUGUGAUUCGUGAUGCUGUUACUUACACUGAGCACGCUAGGAGAAAGACUGUUACUGCUAUGGAUGUUGUUUAUGCUUUGAAGAGGCAAGGAAGGACGCUUUAUGGAUUUGGGGGUUAGGGUUCUAGAUUUGUUGUUGGUGUGUGUUGUUGGUGUUUUGGGGGUGGGAAUUGGAAAAGUCUUGCUGUCAAGAAAUUUUGGCAUGGGAUUUGGGUUGGAUUGUAGGUGGUGUUUUUAGGUUAAAAUUAGAUGUAUUCAUCUUGUUUUGUGUAUUAUGUUUUAGGUAGUUUACUUUUCAGUGUCAUUCUGUGAUGUAACUACUUUUUUCAAUGAAGAAGUGAUUAUGAUUCAA